GAUGAAGAACGCAGCGAAAUGCGAUAAGUAAUGUGAAUUGCAGAAUUCAGUGAAUCAUCGAAUCUUUGAACGCACCUUGCGCUCCUUGGUAUUCCGAGGAGCAUGCCUGUUUGAGUGUCAUGAAAUUCUCAACCUUUUCAGCUUUCUUUGUUGAUCAGGCUUGGAUGUGGGAGUAUGCGGGCUUCUCAGAAGUCGGCUCUCCUGAAAUGCAUUAGCGGGACCUUUGUUGCCUGGCUUUGGUGUGAUAAUUAUCUACGCCAUUGUAGUCAAGCAGCUUAAAAUGAGGUUUCAGCUUCUAACCGUAUCCACUGAGACAACUUUUUGACAAUUUGACCUCAAAUCAGGUAGGACUACCCGCUGAACUUAAGCAUAUCAAUAAGCGGAGGA
rnacentral:misc_RNA from 1 species